ACUAAAUGAAUAAGUGACAGCUAACUAUGUGCCAGCAGCUGCGGUAAAACAUAGGUCACGAGCAUUACUCCGGAUUUAUUGGGCGUAAAGGAAGCGUAGGCGGACAAAUUGAUCUAUUGUUAAAGGCACUUGCUCAACGAGUUGUUUGUGAUAGAUAUCGUUUGUCUAGAAUUAGUUAGGAGAUACUGGAAUUCAAUGUGUAGCGGUGGAAUGCGUAGAUAUAUUGAGGAACACCAGAGGCUAAGGCGAGUAUCUAGGACAUAAUUGACGCUGAGGCUUGAAAGCGUGGGGAGCAAAUGGGA
rnacentral:rRNA from 1 species